rnacentral:tRNA from 1 species
GCCUGGCUGGCUGAGUUGGUUAAGCAUCUGACUUUGGCUCAGGUCAUGACCUCAUGGUUCGUGGGUUUGAGCCCCGUGUUGGGGU